CAUGCAAGUCGAGCGGCACUUGACAGCGUAUCGUCAAGUGUAGCGGCAGACGGGUGAGUAAUACUUGGGCAAUCUGCCCUUUAGUGGAAAACAACCUACCGAAAGGUGGGCUAAUGUUCCAUAAGACCACAGGAUGGCAUCAUCCAGGGGUUAAAGCUUCGCAAGGAGCGCUAGAGGAGGAGCCCGAAUCCUAUCAUGGUAGUUGGUGAGGUAACGGCUCACCAAGCCUUCGACGGGUAGCCGACCUGAAAGGGUGAUCGGCCACACUGGCACUGAGACACGGGCCAGACUCCUACGGGAGGCAGCAGUGGGGAAUUUUGGACAAUGGGGGCAACCCUGAUCCAGCGACGCCGCGUGAAGGAUGAAGGUCUUACGGAUUGUAAACUUCUUUUACAGGGGAUGAAUUGAUCGUUGAAGAGACGAUUUCGACAGUACCCUGUGAAUAAGCCACGGCUAACUACGUGCCAGCAGCCGCGGUAAUACGUAGGUGGCAAGCGUUACUCGGAAUUACUAGGCGUAAAGCGCAGGUAGGCGGUUUGGAAAGUUUCUUGUGAAAGCUCCCGGCUUAACUGGGAGAGGCCAAGGAAAACUACCAGGCUAGAGUGUGGAAGAGGAAGCUAGAAUUCCCGGUGUAGCGGUGAAAUGCGUAGAUAUCGGGAGGAAUACCUAUGGCGAAAGCAGGCUUCUGGUCCAUCACUGACGCUGAUCUGCGAAAGCUAGGGGAGCAAACAGGAUUAGAUACCCUGGUAGUCCUAGCCCUAAACGAUGCUCAUUAGGUGUGGAAGGUAUCGACCCCUCCCGCGCCGAAGCUAACGCAUUAAAUGAGCCGCCUGGGGAGUACG
rnacentral:rRNA from 1 species